rnacentral:rRNA from 1 species
ACUUAGUGAUCCGGUGGUUCUGCGUGGAAGGGCCAUCGCUCAACGGAUAAAAGCUACCCUGGGGAUAACAGGCUUAUCUCCCCCAAGAGUCCACAUCGACGGGGAGGUUUGGCACCUCGAUGUCGGCUCAUCACAUCCUGGGGCUGUAGUAGGUCCCAAGGGUUGGGCUGUUCGCCCAUUAAAGUGGUACGCGAGCUGGGUUCAGAACGUCGUGGGACAGUUCGGUCCCUAUCCGUCGCAGGCGUAGGAAAUUUGAGAAGACCUGUCCUUAGUACGAGAGGACCGGGAUGGACGUACCUCCGGUGUACCAGUUGUCCUGCCAAGGGCAUGGCUGGGUAGCUAUGUACGGAAUGGAUAAG